rnacentral:rRNA from 1 species
GAUGAACGCUGGCGGCGUGCCUAAUACAUGCAAGUCGAGCGAACGGACGAGAAGCUUGCUUCUCUGAUGUUAGCGGCGGACGGGUGAGUAACACGUGGAUAACCUACCUAUAAGACUGGGAUAACUUCGGGAAACCGGAGCUAAUACCGGAUAAUAUUUUGAACCGCAUGGUUCAAAAGUGAAAGACGGUCUUGCUGUCACUUAUAGAUGGAUCCGCGCUGCAUUAGCUAGUUGGUAAGGUAACGGCUUACCAAGGCAACGAUGCAUAGCCGACCUGAGAGGGGGAUGGGCCACACGGGAACUGAGACAGGGGCCGGACCCCCCGGGGGGGCACAGGGGGGGAAUCUUCCGCAAGGGGGGAAAGCCGGACGGAGCAAAGCCGCGUGAGUAUUAAAGGUCUUCGGUUCGUAAAACUUUUUUAUUAGGAAAAAACAUAUGUGAAAGUAACUGUGCACCUCUGGACGGGCCCUAAUGAGAAAGCCAGGGCUAACUACGU